GACGUAGGGCGCGAGCGUUGUCCGGAUUUAUUGGGCGUAAAGAGCUCGUAGGCGGCUUGUCGCGUCAACUGUGAAAACCCGUGGCUCAACCAUGUGGUCUGCAGUCGAUACGGGCAGGCUAGAAUUCGGUAGGGGAGACUGGAAUUCCCGGUGUAGAGGUGAAAUUCGUAGAUAUCGGGAGGAACACCGGUGGCGAAGGCGGCGACCUGGGUAGAUACUGACGCUGAGGUGCGAAAGCGUGGGGAGCAAACAGG
rnacentral:rRNA from 1 species